UUAACAACAAACAAACAAUAUACUAUUGAAAUAGCAUAACUGUCUCCCAACAAGCUAAAUGUACGAAGCUAUGGACUGGCCGGUCUCUUCCUUUCUCUCAUCAGCACUUCAUCCAGCCAUUAAAAUGUUGAGUCCCUAAGAUGAGUUCCAUGAACCUAUAUAGCACCAACAGUCUUGGAGAGCUUGGCAUGGAAGCUGUUAAAUUGGAGCAAGAUAUUAGAAGAUCUUUGCAAGAAAAUGAGACACAAAUAUAUGAUUCAAUCUGUCUUGAAGAAUCCAAUUCAAUUGUUAGAAGGACCGAAUCUGAAAAUAUUAGAAGAUUGAUUGUUUUAAGUGCUCCAAAUAGUGUCCAGGGUGUGGAGUGCUCUCCAAUUGAUGAUUCAGGCUUUUGCUCGACAUCAUCAAUAUCUCCAGCCCCCAUUUGUCGACAGUUCUGGAGAGCUGGAAACUAUGAGGAUAUGCUUAUUUCUAAACCACCAUGUCUAAGUACUUUCCAAUCUGAAAUCUAAGUUGGUUGGCCAUAAUUUCAAAUUCUCAGAACGCUAGCUAAAAUGUGAAUGCGACUCCCAAAAGGGAUUCAAACUCGUGCAGUUGUCUGUAUAGUAGGAUUCUGAUAGCUCAUGAAUAUCAUUGAGGAUAAUGUAGUCUUUAUAUGACAUUUACAUGGUAAUCAAGAAUUCUUUUUUUAAUUGGCA